rnacentral:lncRNA from 1 species
UAGCUCGCCGCUUUCUCUUUUCUCUCUCUCUUUUUUUUUUUUACAUUUGGACGAGGGUUUUCCUUCUACUCCUAACAGGGUUGUAGGGGUGUAAAGAAGCCGUUGAGGAGGCUUUUCCCCUCAUCCGAUCUUAAACGAUCAGGUCUUCAUUUGUAUCAGGACGAGGUUCUCCUCCUGUUCCCGACACAGUCAAUUUCAGCUCAUGUUAGGAUG